rnacentral:rRNA from 1 species
AGCGAACGCUGGCGGCAGGCCUAACACAUGCAAGUCGAACGGAUCCUUCGGGAUUAGUGGCGGACGGGUGAGUAACACGUGGGAACGUGCCCUUUGGUUCGGAACAACUCAGGGAAACUUGAGCUAAUACCGGAUGUGCCCUUCGGGGGAAAGAUUUAUCGCCAUUGGAGCGGCCCGCGUCUGAUUAGCUAGUUGGUGAGGUAACGGCCCACCAAGGCGACGAUCAGUAGCUGGUCUGAGAGGAUGAUCAGCCACACUGGGACUGAGACACGGCCCAGACUCCUACGGGAGGCAGCAGUGGGGAAUCUUGCGUAAUGGGCGAAAGCCUGACGCAGCCAUGACGCGUGAAUGAUGAAGGUCUUAGGAUUGUAAAAUUCUUUCAGCGGGGACGAUAAUGACGGUACCCGCAGAAGAAGCUCCGGCUAACUUCGUG